UUUUUUUUUUUAUUCAUUUAUUAUAUAUAAGUACACUGUAGCUGUCUUCUGGUCUCCAAAGGCACUGCAUGCACAAGACAGACAUGCAUGCAGGAAACUGGAGCGCCCAUCCUGACAGACGAUGUCAGCCUGCAGGUGUUCAUGGAUCAUUUGAAGAAGCUGGCUGUGUCCAGUGCCUCUUAAGCUAGUAGCACAGCCUAGAAGUGGAAGAAAAUGCUGUCAGAUUGUGCUCACAUUGUUGAUAGUGUCCUAGCAUCAUUCACCUUUCUGGGAGAUUCUAAUAAAUAACCCACGGCUUUUUUUAUAUGUAUGUCUUCAGGUUAUAGUAUGUCUUCAGGUUAUAAUUUAUUUGUAGUCCUCUCUACCUGUUUUCAUAUACAUG
rnacentral:lncRNA from 1 species